ACCCUCUCAGGUUUGCACCUGGAGAGUUUCCAGUACUCUUCCAGUCUUGACUACAAAAGGGAGAGUCAAGCAGAGGCCUACCCAUUCCAUUCCUAGCUUGCCCAGUGGCUAGCGAGUGGAAGGCAAUCCAUACAAGU
rfam:Ornithorhynchus anatinus chromosome 1, whole genome shotgun sequence.